AACAGGGAUUGCCCUAGUAACGGCGAGUGAAGCGGCAACAGCUCAAAUUUGAAAUCUGGCCUCGGCCCGAGUUGUAAUUUGCAGAGGAUGUUUCUGGCGCGGUGCCUUCCGAGUUCCCUGGAACGGGACGCCACAGAGGGUGAGAGCCCCGUAUGGUUGGACACUAAGCCUGUGUGAAACUCCUUCGACGAGUCGAGUAGUUUGGGAAUGCUGCUCAAAAUGGGAGGUAAAUCUCUUCUAAAGCUAAAUACCGGCCAGAGACCGAUAGCGCACAAGUAGAGUGAUCGAAAGAUGAAAAGCACCUUGAAAAGGGGGUUAAACAGUACGUGAAAUUGUUGAAAGGGAAGCGCUUGUGACCAGACUUGCGCCGGGCGGCUCAUCCGGGGUUUUCCCCGGUGCACUCCGCCCGGCUCAGGCCAGCAUCGGUUCUCGUUGGGGGAUAAGAACGGCAGGAACGUGGCCCUCCUUCGGGUGGGUGUUAUAGCCUGCCGUACGAUACCCUGACGGGGACCGAGGUUCGCGCUCCGCAAGGAUGCUGGCGUAAUGGUCAUCAGCGACCCGUCUUGAAACACGGACCAAGGAGUCGUCCAUUAGAGCGAGCGUUUGGGUGUCAAACCCGCACGCGUAAUGA
rnacentral:rRNA from 1 species